rnacentral:rRNA from 1 species
CAGCAGCCGCGGGAAUACAGAGGGUGCAAGCGUUAAUCGGAAUUACUGGGCGUAAAGCGCGCGUAGGUGGUUUGUUAAGUUGGAUGUGAAAUCCCCGGGCUCAACCUGGGAACUGCAUCCAAAACUGGCAAGCUAGAGUAUGGUAGAGGGUGGUGGAAUUUCCUGUGUAGCGGUGAAAUGCGUAGAUAUAGGAAGGAACACCAGUGGCGAAGGCGACCACCUGGACUGAUACUGACACUGAGGUGCGAAAGCGUGGGGAGCAAACAGGAUUAGAUACUCCAGAAGUCCCUGUCUCUUAUAC